rnacentral:misc_RNA from 1 species
CUGAGUACCGGGUCCUUUGGGCCCUUACUCCCACCCUUUGUGUAUCUUACCAUUUAUUCAGUUGCCUUGGUGGGACUCCUAACCACCCUUUGGAACGGGUUUUAUACCUAAUCCUUUGGGCAGGACCCACCAUUGGAACUCCCCAAAACUCUUUAUGAAUUGGGAUUGUCUGAGAACAAAAACAAAUAAAUUA